GAUGAAGAACGCAGCGAAAUGCGAUAAGUAAUGCGAAUUGCAGAAUUCAGUGAGUCAUCGAAUCUUUGAACGCACAUUGCGCCCUUUGGUAUUCCGAAGGGCAUGCCUGUUCGAGCGUCAUUACAACCCUCAGGCCCCCGGGCCUGGCGUUGGGGAUCGGCGGAAGCCCCCUGCGGGCACAACGCCGUCCCCCAAAUACAGUGGCGGUCCCGCCGCAGCUUCCAUUGCGUAGUAGCUAACACCUCGCAACUGGAGAGCGGCGCGGCCACGCCGUAAAACACCCAACUUCUGAAUGUUGACCUCGAAUCAGGUAGGAAUACCCGCUGAACUUAAGCAUAUCAAUAAGCGGAGGA
rnacentral:misc_RNA from 1 species